UCGAGGAUCUUCGGCAAUGGGCGCAAGCCUGACCGAGCGACGCCGCGUGCGCGAUGAAGGCCUUCGGGUUGUAAAGCGCUGUCGUGGAGGAGGAAGCCCCGCAAGGGGUUGACCUAUUCCAGGAGGAAGCACGGGCUAAGUUCGUGCCAGCAGCCGCGGUAAGACGAACCGUGCAAACGUUGUUCGGAAUCACUGGGCUUAAAGGGCGCGUAGGCGGGGGACCAAGUCCGGGGUGAAAUCUUUCGGCUUAACCGGAAAAGGGCCUUGGAUACUGGUUCUCUAGAGGGAGGUAGGGGUCUGUGGAACUUCUGGUGGAGCGGUGAAAUGCGUUGAUAUCAGAAGGAACGCCGGUGGCGAAAGCGACGGACUGGAUCUCUUCUGACGCUGAGGCGCGAAAGCCAGGGGAGCAAACGGGAUUAGAUACCCCCGUAGUCC
rnacentral:rRNA from 1 species